GGUUAAGCGACUAAGCGUACACGGUGGAUGCCCUGGCAGUCAGAGGCGAUGAAGGACGUGCUAAUCUGCGAUAAGCGUCGGUAAGGUGAUAUGAACCGUUAUAACCGGCGAUUUCCGAAUGGGGAAACCCAGUGUGUUUCGACACACUAUCAUUAACUGAAUCCAUAGGUUAAUGAGGCGAACCGGGGGAACUGAAACAUCUAAGUACCUCGAGGAAAAGAAAUCAACCGAGAUUCCCCCAGUAGCGGCGAGCGAACGGGGAGCAGCCCAGAGCCUGAAUCAGUGUGUGUGUUAGUGGAAGCGUCUGGAAAGGCGUGCGAUACAGGGUGACAGCCCCGUACACAAAAAUGCACAUGCUGUGAGCUCGAUGAGUAGGGCGGGACACGUGGUAUCCUGUCUGAAUAUGGGGGGACCAUCCUCCAAGGCUAAAUACUCCUGACUGACCGAUAGUGAACCAGUACCGUGAGGGAAAGGCGAAAAGAACCCCGGCGAGGGGAGUGAAAAAGAACCUGAAACCGUGUACGUACAAGCAGUGGGAGCACGCUUAGGCGUGUGACUGCGUACCUUUUGUAUAAUGGGUCAGCGACUUAUAUUCUGUAGCAAGGUUAACCGAAUAGGGGAGCCGAAGGGAAACCGAGUCUUAACUGGGCGUUAAGUUGCAGGGUAUAGACCCGAAACCCGGUGAUCUAGCCAUGGGCAGGUUGAAGGUUGGGUAACACUAACUGGAGGACCGAACCGACUAAUGUUGAAAAAUUAGCGGAUGACUUGUGGCUGGGGGUGAAAGGCCAAUCAAACCGGGAGAUAGCUGGUUCUCCCCGAAAGCUAUUUAGGUAGCGCCUCGUGAAUUCAUCUCCGGGGGUAGAGCACUGUUUCGGCAAGGGGGUCAUCCCGACUUACCAACCCGAUGCAAACUGCGAAUACCGGAGAAUGUUAUCACGGGAGACACACGGCGGGUGCUAACGUCCGUCGUGAAGAGGGAAACAACCCAGACCGCCAGCUAAGGUCCCAAAGUCAUGGUUAAGUGGGAAACGAUGUGGGAAGGCCCAGACAGCCAGGAUGUUGGCUUAGAAGCAGCCAUCAUUUAAAGAAAGCGUAAUAGCUCACUGGUCGAGUCGGCCUGCGCGGAAGAUGUAACGGGGCUAAACCAUG
rnacentral:rRNA from 1 species